AUUGAACGCUGGCGGCAGGCUUAACACAUGCAAGUCGAGCGGGGAAGGGUAGCUUGCUACCUAACCUAGCGGCGGACGGGUGAGUAAUGCUUAGGAAUCUGCCAUUUAGUGGGGGACAACAUUCCGAAAGGAAUGCUAAUACCGCAUACGUCCUACGGGAGAAAGCAGGGGAUCUUCGGACCUUGCGCUAAAUGAUGAGCCUAAGUCGGACUAGCUAGUUGGUGGGGUAAAGGCCUACCAAGGCGACGAUCUGUAGCGGGUCUGAGAGGAUGGUCGGCCCACCUUGGACUGAGACACGGCCCAGGCUCCUACGGGAGGCAGCAGUGGGGAAUAUUGGACAAUGGGCGGAAGCCUGAUCCAGCCAUGCCGCGUGUGUGAAGAAGGCCUUAUGGUUGUAAAGCACUUUAAGCGAGGAGGAGGCUACUUAGAUUAAUACUCUAGGAUAGUGGACGUUACUCGCAGAAUAAGCACCGGCUAACUCUGUGCCAGCCGCCGCGGUAA
rnacentral:rRNA from 1 species